GAUGAACGCUGGCGGCGUGCCUAACACAUGCAGGUCGAGCGAAGCGAUCUGAUGGAAGUUUUCGGAUGGAAGUCAGAUUGACUGAGCGGGCGACGGGUGAAGUACGCGUGGUAACCUGCCUCAUACAGGGGGAUAACAGUUGGAAACGACUGCUAAUACCGCAUAAGCGCACGGUAUCGCAUGAUACAGUGUGAAAAACUCCGGUGGUAUGAGAUGGACCCGCGUCUGAUUAGCUAGUUGGUGGGGUAACGGCCUACCAAGGCGACGAUCAGUAGCCGACCUGAGAGGGUGACCGGCCACAUUGGGACUGAGACACGGCCCAA
rnacentral:rRNA from 1 species